CCUACGGGAGGCAGCAGUGGGGAAUAUUGCGCAAUGGGCGAAAGCCUGACGCCGCGACGCCGCGUGAGGGAUGAAGGUCUUCUGAUCGUACACCUCUGUCAGCAGGGACGAACGGUCACUGUGCUAAUCAGCAGUUAAUUGACGGUACCUGCAAAGGAAGCACCGGCUAACUCCGUGCCAGCAGCCGCGGUAAUCCGGAGGGUGCGAGCGUUAAUCGGAAUUACUGGGCGUAAAGCGCUCGUAGGCGGUAUGUCAAGUCAAGGGUGAAAUCCCCGCGCUCAACGUGGGAACUGCCUUUGAAACUGGCAAACUGGAGUGUGUGAGAGGAUAGUGGAAGUCCAGGGGUAGGAGUGAAAUCCGUAGAUAUCUGGAGGAACAUCAGUGGCGAAGGCGACUAUCUGGCACAUAACUGACGCUGAGGAGCGAAAGCGUGGGUAGCAAACAGGAUUAGAUACCCGUGUAGUC
rnacentral:rRNA from 1 species